rnacentral:rRNA from 1 species
UAUAAAAUAGUAUACAGUGAAACUGCGAAUGGCUCAUUAAAAACAGUUAUAGUUUAUUUGAUAAUUGAAUUCUACAUGGAUAACCGUAGUAAUUCUAGAGCUAAUACAUGCUGUAAAACCUGACUUUUCGGAAAGGUUGUAUUUAUUAGAUAUCAAACCAAUAAUCUUUCGGGAUUAUUGUGAUGAUUCAUAAUAACUGAUCGGAUCAAGGUGUACCUUGAUAGAUCAUUCAAGUUUCUGCCCUAUCAGCUUUCGAUGGUAGUGUAUUGGACUAUCAUGGCAGUCACGGGUAACGGAGAAUUAGGGUUCGAUUCCGGAGAGGGAGCCUGAGAAACGGCUACCACAUCUACGGAAGGCAGCAGGCGCGUAAAUUACCCAAUCCUGAUUCAGGGAGGUAGUGACAAGAAAUAACAACUACGGGGGCCGUCACGGCUUACGAGAUUGCAAUGAGAACAAUUUAAAUACUCUUAG